rnacentral:tRNA from 1 species
UUAAUCGAAGCCAAAUAGAGGCAUUUUAAUGUUAAUAAAAGUAUUGAUAUAUAUAUUCCGAUUAAA